rnacentral:rRNA from 1 species
AGUGAACGCUGGCGGUAGGCCUAACACAUGCAAGUCGAACGGCAGCACAGGAGAGCUUGCUCUCUGGGUGGCGAGUGGCGGACGGGUGAGGAAUACAUCGGAAUCUGCCCAGUCGUGGGGGAUAACGUAGGGAAACUUACGCUAAUACCGCAUACGACCUUCGGGUGAAAGAGGGGGAUCGCAAGACCCCCCGCGAUUGGAUGAGCCGAUGUCGGAUUAGCUAGUUGGCGGGGUAAUGGCCCACCAAGGCGACGAUCCGUAGCUGGUCUGAGAGGAUGAUCAGCCACACUGGAACUGAGACACGGUCCAGACUCCUACGGGAGGCAGCAGUGGGGAAUAUUGGACAAUGGGCGCAAGCCUGAUCCAGCCAUACCGCGUGGGUGAAGAAGGCCUUCGGGUUGUAAAGCCCUUUUGUUGGGAAAGAAAUCUUUCAGGCUAAUACCCUGGGAGGAUGACGGUACCCAAAGAAUAAGCACCGGCUAACUUCGUG